GAGAUCUAUACUUUUUCCCUCCUGGAGUUUCUUCUCCUCUUUCUGCCUCUGCUUGAAUGCCUUGUCUUCCUUGUUCAUCUCCUUGGCCUGCUUCUUGGGAUGCUUCAGGGGCUUUUUCUUGCCACCUUCUCAGCCAG